rnacentral:rRNA from 1 species
AGGAUGAACGCUGGCGGCGUGCCUAAUACAUGCAAGUCGAACGAAGCCUUCGGGCUUAGUGGCGGACGGGUGAGUAACACGUUGGUACCUACCCCGAAGUGGGGAAUAACUGCCCGAAAGGGUGGCUAAUACCGCAUAAUACCGCAAGGUUAAAGCAGUAAUGCGCUUCGGGAGGGGCCUGCGUCCCAUUAGCUUGUUGGUAGUGUAAUGGACUACCAAGGCGACGAUGGGUAGCUGGAUCGAGAGGUUGACCAGCCACACUGGGACUGAGAUACGGCCCAGACUCCUACGGGAGGCAGCAGUAAGGAAUCUUCCACAAUGGACGAAAGUCUGAUGGAGCAACGCCGCGUGCAGGAUGACGGCCUUCGGGUUGUAAACUGCUUUUAUAUGGGAAGAUUAUGACGGUACCAUAUGAAUAAGGACCGGCUAACUACGUGCCAGCAGCCGC